GUUGGAAUCUGGUGAGUGGCCCAAUUGAUGUGACUGUCCCCCUCCCUGUGCCACCUCCACCUGACCUGAGUGGACUAGAAAAUACACAGGAGGGAGUAAGAAAACUUUUGUGGGAAAUGGUGGAAAAGUCCCAGGCUUUUCUUCUAUUUUCCCAGUUACAGGCUCUAUGAUCAAGCCAGAGACAAUCCCACAUUCAUACACUGACAUCUGCUGAAGGAACUUCUCAGGGAAAACCACACAAGAACCUGAAACUGGCCAGUAGCAACCAAAGGACAUUGUUGUUUCUGUAGUGGGGGCUGUGGACAGGUGAAGGUGUGCAGGUGGUUUCCAUGUGCUUCUGGGUUUGGUGCAUCCCACUGGUCACCAGUGACCUCUGCUCUCCCUUUCCACACUCACCUUCCUGCUCUGCUCCUCCUUUCCCUCCUCACCCACCUCUGUUUGCUCCCAAUUGCUGACACAUCCCAGAACUUGCACCUGCAGCUGGUGCAAGAUGCUCUGCAAGACAAAUUCUCCUCAAACAUCCAGAGAGUGGCACCUUCCCUUGCUCCAGGUGACUUUCUUCCCUCCAAGCUGUCAAGGUGGACCUGGGCAGGUGGCUUUUGCCUUUGGACCCCUUGGGGCAGGACCAUGGUGGUCCUGGGGUCAGUGCAGGUGGGUUUGAUGGUGCUGGUGGUACCACUCAGGUUCUCACUCCUUCUGUGUGUGGUCCAGAGGUACCUAAGAUGAAUCUGCCCCAAAAAAGCUCAGCUCAACCUGUUCAGUUGAUGCAUCUUUUAAAAAAGAGAGGAUUCCUUGCCAAGGUGAUUUCACUGUUAGAGCAAAAGUUAAGUUCCUAAACUAUUGUGAUUUUUUUUUUCCACCAGGUCUGGUCAUGAUCCUAAUGUUUACAUUUUUAGAUAGCUAUGCAAAGCAGCAACAAGGAAGGAUUAAUUUACCCCUUAUUUUUAAUUAGUUACAGCUCUUCAGCCGAGUCCACCCACUCUGUAACCUCAAGGGUAUCUCAUGAUACCUGGGGAUGGAUUUGGCUAAACAAUCACCAAUUUAUUGCCUUUGGAAAUCAGUAUAUUUUCAAAAGAAUGUGAACAAUUUGUACAGUCUUGCAACAGUUGCUACAAAACCAGAAGAAAUACCAGUAACACUUGCUAUGUGUAUUUUAACCCCAACCACUCAAUUUCAUUUAAUUAAGAUGUAGCUCAGCCAAAUAUUUCCUUAUAUUGUGUUUUCCCACUUCUCUGUUUUACAAAAAAAAAAAAAAAAAAAAAAAUAAAAAAAAAAAAAAAAAAAAAAAAAAAAAAAAA
rnacentral:lncRNA from 1 species